AAGCACAAGUGAUGUUUAUAUAAUAUCAUAAAAGGGUAUUUUUUGUAUGGCAAUUUUUUGGGUUUCGCUCGUUUCAUAAGGGGUAAAAAAAGUACGUGACAAUGACAUAAUACCAACAUAGUUAUGUAUUUCUAGCAUGAUUGCCUGAUAAAGAAUAAUAAUAUGCCAAGAAAAAAAGAAAAAAAAGAAAUGAAAUAGUACCAUAGAAGUUACUCUUUGUGCAAGCAAAGCUCUCUCUCAAAGGGCUUAAUAAAAACUACCCUAAUUUCUUCCAACCUUUCACUUACCACGAAGUACCAGAGCCAAUUCUCAUAAUGGGGUGGCUUCACUCACUCGUCUCCCCAUUGAAGAAGCUCUGGGAUCGUCUACACUCACAACAUAGAAAAGGUAGAGGGAUAUAUAUACUGUACAAAGAUGUGAAAUCAUGCCCUUGUGAAGAUGUGCAUGUUCUAUGGUCAAUAUUGGUUGAAUCAGGCUCAGCUUCUUUGCAUCAGAAUGGAAGAGUCUCUCCGGCAUUGUAACAACAAUAACAACUAAAAGUGGCGAAAGGGAUGAUGAUUCAAUCUCCCAUGUACAUGAUUCUCAUUACAUUAUACAUACAUCUAUAUAUAAGAUAAAUAAUUAUCUUUGUUGCUUUUCGUGUUUUGUGUAGUCAAAUUGUAUAUUAUUUGGGUUUUCUUAGCUGAAUAUUUGGAACUUGUUUAUUACUCUUAAUGGUUGCUUCACUUUGUUAGAGUGAAUGGUCAAUUCAACUCUUUAGCAAAUGAGCCACUACCUUUUUAAAAAAAAUAUAUAUCAUUAAUCAAAAAAGAAAAAACGAAGAAAAGGAAAGAGGUGAUUUCAUACUAUAAAAA